ACGGAAGGCAGCAGUGGGGAAUAUUGCACAAUGGGCGAAAGCCUGAUGCAGCGACGCCGCGUGAGUGAAGAAGUAUCUCGGUAUGUAAAGCUCUAUCAGCAGGGAAGAAAAUGACGGUACCUGACUAAGAAGCCCCGGCUAACUACGUGCCAGCAGCCGCGGUAAUACGUAGGGGGCAAGCGUUAUCCGGAUUUACUGGGUGUAAAGGGAGCGUAGACGGCUUUGCAAGUCUGAAGUGAAAGCCCGGGGCUCAACCCCGGAACUGCUUUGGAAACUGUAGAGCUGGAGUGCAGGAGAGGUAAGUGGAAUUCCUAGUGUAGCGGUGAAAUGCGUAGAUAUUAGGAGGAACACCAGUGGCGAAGGCGGCUUACUGGACUGUAACUGACGUUGAGGCUCGAAGGCGUGGGGAGCAAACAGGAUUAGAUACCCUGGUA
rnacentral:rRNA from 1 species